rnacentral:tRNA from 1 species
GGCGGUGUAGCUCAGUUGGUUAGAGCGUACGGUUCAUACCCGUAAGGUCAGUGGUUCGAAUCUACUCACCGCUACCA